rnacentral:misc_RNA from 1 species
GAAUGAAAAAUCAAGCGAUGUGAGUCAAAGGAGCGUUGGCAUCAUUACUAUUAGUAUUGUCGUUGGGGAGCGGCAGCUGCUUAUUCAUAAUCAUCUGAUUAUUUCUCUUCUUCUUCUUCUCAAUUCUAGCAGAUGUUGAACCAGCUUCUUUUAAGCUCAUCAACAAGUGCUGCUAGACGGUUUGGCCUGGCUUGCUAUCCGGCGCGGGCACCGCACUGCUUCCCACAACAGGCUUUGCUCUUAACGUUCUGUUUGAGUGGGGUGAGGGAAGGGUAUCAAGGGUAAGAGGGUAAGUAACUAUUAUUAUACUACUUGUUUG